rnacentral:rRNA from 1 species
GAUGAACGCUGGCGGCGUGCUUAACACAUGCAAGUCGAACGAUGAAGCCCAGCUUGCUGGGUGGAUUAGUGGCGAACGGGUGAGUAACACGUGAGUAACCUGCCCUUAACUCUGGGAUAAGCCUGGGAAACUGGGUCUAAUACCGGAUAGGAGCGUCCACCGCAUGGUGGGUGUUGGAAAGAUUUAUCGGUUUUGGAUGGACUCGCGGCCUAUCAGCUUGUUGGUGAGGUAAUGGCUCACCAAGGCGACGACGGGUAGCCGGCCUGGGAGGGUGACCGGCCACACUGGGACUGCGACACGGACCAGACUCCUACGGGAGGCAGCAGUGGGGAAUAUUGCACAAUGGGCGCAAGCCUGAUGCAGCGACGCCGCGUGAGGGAUGCCGGCCUUCGGGUUGUAAACCUCUUUCAGUAGGGAAGAAGCGAAAGUGGCGGUACCUGCAGAAGAAGCACCGGCUAACUACGUG